CAGCCGCCACGGGAAUACGAACCGUGCGAACGUUAUUCGGAAUCACUGGGCUUAAAGCGCGUGUAGGCGGAUCGGCACGUCCGGAGUUGAAAUCCCCCGGCUCAACCGGGGAAGUGGCACGGAUACGGCCGAUCUGGAGGGGGGUAGGGGGGCCUGGAACUUCCGGUGGAGCGGUGAAAUGCGUUGAGAUCGGAAGGAACGCCCGUGGCGAAAGCGAGGCCCUGGACCCUUACUGACGCUGAGACGCGAAAGCCAGGGGAGCGAACGGGAUUAGAUACCCCCGUAGUCCCUGUCUCUUAUA
rnacentral:rRNA from 1 species